rnacentral:rRNA from 1 species
GACAGAGGGUGCUAGCGUUGUUCGGAAUUACUGGGCGUAAAGGGCGCGUAGGCGGUCUGUUAAGUUCGGUGUGAAAUCCCCUGGCUCAACUGGGGAACUGCGCUGGAAACUGGCAGACUCGAGUACCGGAGAGGAGAGUGGAAUUCCUGGUGUAGCGGUGAAAUGCGUAGAUAUCAGGAGGAACACCGGUGGCGAAGGCGGCUCUCUGGACGGAUACUGACGCUGAGGCGCGAAAGCGUGGGGAGCGAUCCGG